rnacentral:rRNA from 1 species
AUGGAGAUAAAUUCUUCGGGUGAGGAAACGGUCAUAAAGGUGCGAAAGCCGUACACAAUAACAAAGCAGCGGGAGCGGUGGACCGAGGCAGAGCACAAACGGUUCCUUGAAGCCCUCAAACUGUAUGGCAGAGCUUGGCAGCGCAUAGAAGAGCACGUUGGGACAAAGACGGCCGUGCAAAUCAGAAGCCAUGCUCAGAAGUUCUUCACCAAGUUGGAAAAGGAAGCUAUCAAUAAUGGUACUUCUCCGGGACAAGCUCAUGAUAUAGACAUACCUCCACCACGGCCUAAAAGAAAACCUAACUGUCCAUAUCCUCGAAAAGGUUGUCUCAGUUCUGAAACACCCACCAGAGAAGUUCCAAAAUCAAGUGUAAGCUUGAGCAAUAGCAAUGCAGAAAUGGCGAGCAAUGGAACUCUUCAGCUCACCUGCAUUCAGAAACUUCAAAGGAAGGAGUUAUCUGAAAACGGCAGUUGCUCAGAAGUUAUUAAUAUCUUUCGAGAAGCACCAUCUGCCUCAUUUUCUUCCUCUAACAAGAGCUCUUCAAAUCAUGGUGUCUCGGGGGGAAUUGAACCGACUAAAACAGAAAACAAAGAUAUUGCAACCAUGGAAAGGAAAUCUACUUCCAUUGAUGUGGGGAAGGAUGUAAAAGAUAUUAAUGACCAGGAAAUGGAAAGGAACAACAGAGUCCACAUCAGUUCUAAUUAUGGCCGUUCUCAUGAAGAUUGUUUGGAUAACUCGAUGAAACACAUGCAGUUGAAGCCAAAUACUGUGGAGACAACAUACACGGGUCAACAUGCUGCAAGUGCCCCACUCUACCAAAUGAAUAAGACUGAGGCAACUGGCGCUCCAGACCCUGGAACUGAAGGAAGUCAUCCUGAUCAAACAAGUGAUCAAGCGGGAGGAGCUAAUGGAAGCAUGGACUGCAUCCAUCCAACACUUCCGGUGGAUCCAAAAAUUGGCAGCAGCUCCACAGCACAGCCCUUUCCCCACAACUAUGCAGGCUUUGCACCAACGAUGCAAUGCCACUGCAACCAAGAUGCCAACAGGUCUUCUCUUAAUAUGUCAUCCACCUUCUCCAACAUGCUCGUUUCCACGUUGUUAUCAAACCCCACAGUACAUGCAGCCGCAAGGCUUGCAGCAUCAUACUGGCCAGCAGCAGACAGCAACAUUCCUGUUGGUCCAAAUCAAGAAGUUUUUGCUGAGAAUGCUCAAGGAAGACAUAUUGGUUCUCCUCCAAGCAUGGCUUCUGUGGUAGCAGCUACAGUUGCUGCGGCUUCGGCAUGGUGGGCAACACAAGGUCUUCUCCCUCUUUUUGCUCCCCCCAUGGCUUUUCCAUUUGUACCAGUUCCUACUGCUUCCUUUCCCAUAGCGGAUGUUCAGCGAGCUACAGAGAACUGCCCAGUGGACAACGCACCGAAGGAAUGCCAAGUAGCUCAGGAGCAAGGUCAACCUGAAGCUAUGAUAGUUGGUGCGUCUUCUGGAUCAGACGAGAGUGGAAAAGGAGAGGUGUCUCCCCACACUGAUAAAGUUGAGACAACACCUCCCACAGGAGCUGAAACAAGUGAUGCUUUCGGCAACAAGAAGAAGCAGGAUCGCUCUUCAUGUGGUUCCAACACGCCAUCAAGUAGUGAUGUAGAGGCAGAACAUGUUCCUGAGAACCAAGAUCAAGCCAACGACAAGACACAGCAAGCAUGUUGCAGUAAUUCUUCAGCUGGUGACAUGAACCACCGCAGGUUUAGGAACAUUUCAAGCACAAAUGAUUCAUGGAAGGAAGUUUCCGAAGAGGGUCGUAUGGCUUUCGAUAAACUGUUCAGUAGAGGAAAGCUUCCCCAAAGCUUUUCUCCUCCACAAGCAGAAGGAUUGAAGGUGGUACCCAGGGGGGAACAAGACGAAGCUACUACGGUGACGGUCGACCUCAACAAGAGUGCUGCAGUUAUAGACCAUGAACUUGAUACAUUGGUUGGGCCAAGAGCUGCUACCUUUCCCAUUGAAUUGUCACACCUGAAUAUGAAAUCCCGCCGGACAGGCUUCAAACCUUACAAGAGGUGCUCGGUGGAAGCAAAGGAGAAUAGGGUGCCGGCUGCUGACGAGGUGUCUGAAAAACAUCAAAUGGAGACAGACGAGAAGCUGAAGCACCUCUAUAGCACGGUGAAUCAACAGAACAUUCUGAUGGAUCUGGCAUCACAUCCUCGGCCAAAACACCACAUGGAUCAGCAGAAGUAG